rnacentral:rRNA from 1 species
CAGUCGCCGCGGUAAUACGUAUGUCACAAGCGUUAUCCGGAUUUAUUGGGCGUAAAGCGCGUCUAGGUGGUUAUGUAAGUCUGAUGUGAAAAUGCAGGGCUCAACUCUGUAUUGCGUUGGAAACUGUGUAACUAGAGUACUGGAGAGGUAAGCGGAACUACAAGUGUAGAGGUGAAAUUCGUAGAUAUUUGUAGGAAUGCCGAUGGGGAAGCCAGCUUACUGGACAGAUACUGACGCUGAAGCGCGAAAGCGUGGGUAGCAAACAGGAUUAGAUACCCGUGUAGUCCCUGUCUCUUAUACA